rnacentral:rRNA from 1 species
GCUUGUCUCAAAGAUUAAGCCAUGCAUGUCUAAGUAUAAAUACCUUAUACUGUGAAACUGCGUAUGGCUCAUUAAAUCAGUUAUAGUUUAUUUGAUGGUACCUCACUACAUGGAUAACCGUAGUAAUUCUAGAGCUAAUACAUGCGCUAAGUCCCGACUUUACGGAAGGGAUGUAUUUAUUAGAUAAAAAACCAACCGCCGCAAGGCGUUUUUUGGUGAUUCAUAAUAACUAAUCGGAGCUCAUGGUCUUGCACCGGAGCCAGGUCAUUCAAAUUUCUGCCCUAUCAGCUUUCGAUGGUAGUGUAGUGGACUACCAUGGCUUUAACGGGUGACGGAGAAUUAGGGUUCGAUUCCGGAGAGGGAGCCUGAGAAACGGCUACCACAUCCAAGGAAGGCAGCAGG